ACGAAACCUCUGCCCUUAAACACGGACAAAGCAUUUGCGCAGUUUAAAUAUUUUUUUCUGGAUUCAUUUUUAAAGUGCCCCAUCAUUGCACUUUAAGUCGCCUUCUUCUAUCGGUCCUUCCUGCUUUGAAAUUUGUCUACGAAUGUUCUUUGAAGAAGCAGGCAGUCCUGCUGCCAACUCACCUCCACAGUUUCUGCAGCCGCGACUUUUCUCCCUCCCCCCCUCCUCACCCGUCUGCUCCGCGUGUAUUACUGACCUUUCAAGGAUCCACUGCUGGAGACGAGCAGCAGGGCAACACGGCCGGGAGGAAAUCCAGCUCAUUUGGGUCAAAGAUCAAACCUUCACCACAAAGCAAACUCUCCGAGGAGGGAGAGAUCAUAAGGGGGAUCAAACUCUGACGGCUGGGGUUGAAUUUGUAUACACAGAGUGAUGGAAAGACAUUUCUACAAUAUUUCUGGGUAAACAGCCGCACAGCUGGGCUCCCAGGAGAGGAAGUUCUGGUGUCUUGUGUGUCCAGUUACUGACACCGAAACUGCUGAAAAACAAGGAGCUGCUGAGCUAACGCCUCUGUAGGAAGUGGUCAAGACUUCAGACCUCUGGGGAUUACUCUUGGAAGGAUGGGGAAUUGCCGUCUCUACACUUUAAUCCCAUUUUUUAAAACAUGAUCUUAAAAUAUCAAUGUUAUGUGAAUAUUUUCCAGCAGACAUCAUUGACAAAUGACAAAAAAAAUGCCCAAAAUUGUCUUUAGACUUGAUUCAGGUCUUAAUAUAGAGCAAUUUCAAAAGCCAAGAUCAACUUCAUUCUUGGUUAAGGGACAGGGUAUUUUUAGCCUCUGGCAAGAUGAGCAGAAU
rnacentral:lncRNA from 1 species